rnacentral:rRNA from 1 species
UACAGAGGGGGCAAGCGUUAUUCGGAAUUAUUGGGCGUAAAGGGCGCGUAGGCGGCUUGGCAAGUGGAUGGUGAAAUCCCUCGGCUUAACCGAGGAACUGCCGUCCAAACUGCUUAGCUUGAGACCGGGAGAGGUGAGUGGAAUUCCCAGUGUAGCGGUGAAAUGCGUAGAUAUUGGGAGGAACACCAGUGGCGAAGGCGGCUCACUGGACCGGUACUGACGCUGAGGCGCGAAAGCUAGGGUAGCAAACGGG